GUGAAUCAUCGAAUCUUUGAACGCAAAUUGCACUCUUCUCUGAGAGUAUGCCUGUGUGAGGGUCAGCCUAUAAAAAAUCGACAUCGGUGCUGUUUCGCGGGGGCGUUCGUCUGAAAUUGGGUCAUAUUAUAUCUUUUGGGUUUAAGCGAGUUAAAAUUUGCUUUUGGUUCCAUGAACGGUACUAAGAUCUAUUUCGGUACACGUUUAGGGUAUCGAUUUUUACCAUAGGUGACCAUCAUAUCGG
rnacentral:misc_RNA from 1 species